rnacentral:lncRNA from 1 species
CACACAGAUUGUCUUAGGCCAAGGCAUGCAACAAUGAAGUCAUUACAAUGUGUAACAUCAUUCAGAUACAACUGACCUGAUAGGAUGGUGGAAUGGAAUACUGAACAGACAGCUAAAGCUCAACCCAGGCAUAUCUUGCAUUGUCGAAGUGCUCUUCUACAGGAUAAAACAUAGUCACUAUAUCAGGGACCAGAAUAUGCUGCUGUGUUACUAGAAUAUGCAGGUUUCAGAACAAGUCGCAGAAACAUCUUGCCUAAACAUUUUUAAUUUUUUCUUCUCUUCCAUUUAUUUUUAGCAUAUGAUAGAUUUGAUUUCUAGUUUCUUGUGAUGGUAGUGGGGUAGGAGAAAUAGAUAAUUUGGCUGAGAAAGACAGUAAGGGUUUUUCUUAGACUAUGACUAAUACCAGGGAACCAGAGAAUGAAGAAAGGAAUCAUUGCUCUUCCUGGGAUAAUCGACUCCAUUUAUUAGGAACUAGGGCUGCUAAUACACAGACUAAAGGGAGAUAUACGUCUGUAAUUCCGGAGAUUCACUGAAUAUCUCAUGAUGGUUCCAAUUUCAGCGAUAACUGUGAAUAGGGCAAUUCAACAACUGCAGCCUGACAGAAGCAAGGCAACUAACUCUUCAGAAACCAUGAGGAUGAAGAUCCAUGCUAUCCUACAAGGCAAACAACCAGGAGAAGCGAAAUGCCACCAGCAGGGUAGCUCUGGAACUUGUAGAGCUGAAGUGGAGAAAUCAGGCAAGUGUUGAACCUACAUGUUAAGACACUGUUCAGGUUUACUUAUGUGUGGAUUUCCUUCUGCCUCUGCCACCCCUGAGACAGUAAGAACAACACCUCCUCUUCCUCCUCCUGUCCGGCCUGCUCAACGUGAAGGCAAUGAGGAUAAAGAUGCUUUUAUAGUGACCUACUUCCACUUAAUGAACGCUAAAUAUAUUUUCCUUAUGGUUUUCUUAAUAACAUUUUCUUUGCUGUAGCUUAUUUUAUUGUAAAAAUAUAAUACAUGCAUAACAUAUAACACAAAAUAUGUGUUAAUUGAUGUUAUUGGUAAGGCUCCCAGUUAAUGGUUGGCUAUUAGUUGUUUUUUUUGGGAGUCUGAAUUUAUGCAGGGACUUUCAACUGUACAGGGGAGUCAGUGCCCCUAACACAGUUGUUAUUCAAGAGUAAACUCUGUAUAAUAAAGAAGAACAUUUUCAGAACUUGGAAAUGAGGAAGUAAAAUGGCCAGAUAAUUGAAUAUUCUCUACAUGAUAGAAAGUAUUUAUACAAGUUACUUAAAUAUAGAUAUUUUAUGAUUUACAUAAAAAUCCAGAGUCUUUAUUGUUACUAAUGUAUUUAUAAUGAACUGUGUAGAAAAAAAAUUCAUUGAUAUUGUUUCAGUCAUUUAUAGCUAAUUUUGUUUAGUAUAUAAAAAGUUCCAAAUUAAAAUAUAGCAUUCUCCCCCAUUGUCUUCCAUAAUUACAGAUAUAUUUAUUAUCUGGAUGGAUCUUGCCUGAUUAAUGCAAUUGUGCACAGUACUGAGGAAAAGCUAACUAGGUAAGGCGAACAAUGGUGAUUUAAAUAAAUAAAUCCAUAUAAAUGUACUGACUUCCAAAAGUAUAUACUGUAUUACAAGUUGACUGUUUAAAAGCUGUAAUAACCUAUUGGCAUUUUUUUCUCUCUCAGCAGAUGGUGAGCUAUUUUAGAAAAGGACUGACAUGAAUUGAUUAUAGUGUGUUUGUGUGCAUCACCACUUAGAAUAGUACCCCAUGUGUAAUAGUACUCCAUAUAUGUUUGUUGAAGAAUUGAAAAAAAAAAUAAAACAUAUAUUGUAAUUCCUCAACUGCCAAGUAGCUUUAACAUUGAUAGAGUUUGAACCAAACAAGACAAAUUUUGAUGUUUAGGUAAAAUAAUAUAUAUUUUGGCUCUUAAUUUGCUUUGGUAGUACAUAAAUUGAUUGCCAUUUAAAUGGAAAAAUAAUAGUUUCAAAUAUCAGUCUCUAGAGAAACAGAUUUACAGAAUUCCAACCAGGUAGAACUCUAAAGAAAUGAGUUGAAAUACUUCCAUGGUAGAAAUAUAAUUAAAAACAAGUAUUAAUUUUUGUGUGUAUCACACAUUAGGGAACUCUAAGUAAUAAGUAUGCCAAAAAUAAAUAGGGUCUAACACCACUGACAUUGAAGUUAUAAAAAUCAACUUCAUAAAAAGAGAAAAAUGUAUUAAAUCUCUGACUAUAUAUACAAAUAAUUGUUAUAAAGUAUUAUAUAUUUAAUGUUAUACAAAUAUGGAAAAGAAAUGGAAAAUGUAUGUGUGAUAUUUAUAUCUUAUCAUAAAUAAAUCUCUCUUCAGUGCUUGAAUACUCACUCAUCUUGUAUAUUGUGUGAAUUACCUCAGCAUCUGCACGGCAAAAAUUACUGUGUUUUCAAAUCCAAACAGCUAACGAUUGAAAAAAGACUUUAAGAGCCACCAUUUGAACAUUCAAUAAUGUUUUGUUUGCCUUAACAGCUGAUUCAGAAUGCAACAGACUCUGUGGAGUUGAUUCAGGGUUAGAAAUGUAUAAUAGACAUAGUGAUUAGAG